rnacentral:rRNA from 1 species
AUUGAACGCUGGCGGCAUGCCUUACACAUGCAAGUCGAACGGCAGCACGGGUGCUUGCACCUGGUGGCGAGUGGCGAACGGGUGAGUAAUAUAUCGGAACGUACCUUAUUGUGGGGGAUAACGCAGCGCAAGCUGUGCUAAUACCGCAUAAUCCCUAAGGGGGAAAGCGGGGGAACGUAAGGCCUCGCGCAAUUAGAGCGGCCGAUACCUGAUUAGCCAGUUGGUGAGGUAGAGGCUCACCAAGGCAACGAUCAGUAGCUGGUCUGAGAGGACGAUCAGCCGCACUGGGACUGAGACACGGCCCAGACUCCUACGGGAGGCAGCAGUGGGGAAUGUUGGACAAUGGGGGCAACCCUGAUCCAGCAAUGCCGCGUGAGUGAAGAAGGCCUUCGGGUUGUAAAGCUCUUUUGUCAGGGAAGAAACAGCAGCUCUAACACAGUAUGCGAAUGACGGUACCUAAAGAAUAAGCACCGGCUAACUACGUGCCAGCCGCCGCAGUAA